UACGUAGGGGGGCAAGCGUUGUCCGGAAUCACUGGGCGUAAAGCGCGCGCAGGCGGUCAUUUACGUCUGGGGUGAAAGCCCGGAGCUCAACUCCGGGAUUGCCUUGGAUACGGGAUGACUUGAGGAUCGGAGAGGCAAGGGGAAUUCCACGUGUAGCGGUGAAAUGCGUAGAGAUGUGGAGGAACACCUGUGGCGAAGGCGCCUUGCUGGCCGAUUUCUGACGCUGAGGCGCGAAAGCGUGGGGAGCAAACAGG
rnacentral:rRNA from 1 species